UACGUAGGUCCCGAGCGUUGUCCGGAUUUAUUGGGCGUAAAGCGAGCGCAGGUGGUUUAUUAAGUCUGGUGUAAAAGGCAGUGGCUCAACCAUUGUAUGCAUUGGAAACUGGUAGACUUGAGUGCAGGAGAGGAGAGUGGAAUUCCAUGUGUAGCGGUGAAAUGCGUAGAUAUAUGGAGAAACACCGGUGGCGAAAGCGGCUCUCUGGCCUGUAACUGACACUGAGGCUCGAAAGCGUGGGGAGCAAACAGG
rnacentral:rRNA from 1 species